UCUCUGUGUGUGUGUGUGUGUCUAAAACUCGAGCCACUUUCAUCAUCACUAUCUCUAUCUUCGUUGAUAAAAAAAAUCAUAAAUUUUUCACUCUUUUUCCAAUUUCUUUUGACGCUAAAGGUAAGUAUGAAUGGAAGAACCUUUGUUGCAAGUUGGCGCUUUUCGGAAAUUAUGAUGUUUUUGGAAUUGUGAGGCAAAUUAGUGAGAAGUAUGAUGCUUUUCGGAAAUGUGUGACAAAUUUCUUCAUUGUUAUGGGAUGAUUUUCCAGAUCAUUAAUAUAUCAAGCUUUUAUUUUGAUAAAA